UUUUAUAUUGAUGCAAAUUGCUCGCAUACAGUUUUGGGAAAUGCUUUUUUUUCCCUCUUUGCAAUAGUGGUCAUUCUUUUGAUUUACAUUACGAAAAAAAUAAUAAUUGCAUUAUCUUCAGAUCUUCGUCGUGCUUGUGCACGCUUACAGGGCCUAUUUCAAGCGCGCCAAUCACCAGCGCUGUUUUAUCCCCUGUUUGGUACCCUGCUCAAUAUGUGCGCAAGUUGAUGGACGACCAGUUUUCCACGGUGGCGCGAGCAUUAGCAUUACAAUGCCUACGCACAAGAACGCAUGUGUGGCCAAGUUGGCGGGUUACGUGACUUCACAGGAGGUGAGUUUAAAGCUAGAGCACAAGCCGCUGAUGAGUCGUUGCUUACAGGACGACCAGCUUAUUGGCAUUUCUUGAUGAUGGCCACUGUUGUUAAGGUGAUUGUACUGUGAUCUCUUACUGUAGCCUUCUUGGUAAAACACUGUGAUCUCCUGUAUUGGCCUUUAGUUGGACUGAGAGAACACUAUUUCCUUGGCAUCAGAGGCUCCAUUGGUACUAACUGUGCAUCACUGGUUCAUGAACGAUGAGGACAUGGUUGUAGCCCAAUCGCUACCAACAAAAUGAAUACUCCCAACCAACCGGCUCUUUUCAACCAAUUAAGUUGUGCUUCUACUCAAGGCAGAUUGAAGAGAUUGCUUGGCUGAAAAACAGGUGGGAUUGUUUAAAUAUAACCCCAGAUCAACACUCUUUGUUUUGCAGGCUUGCAUCUGUAGAUGGUUGAAAACAAAUCUUAAGAACUGAAAAAAGUAGAGGGAUGUAAUAUGUUAAAAUGCUGCUUACAAGCUUGAGGAAAAGGACUUUUGGGGAAGUGUACAUGUAUUUAAGGUAUUUUGAAAAAUAAAAUACACUAGCUCAUCAAGCAACAAUUGAAAAGAAAUGGAAAAAUGACAACUAAGAAGAUAAUAAGAUUUAUAUUUAUAUGAGAAACUCCAGUGAUGUGGGCCCCGAUCUUUGUUGAUUUGACACUGCUUUCAAUGAUGUUUCAACUUGUUGUAAAGUGCACCUAUUUUGAAGUUGUGGCCUCCAUGAGUGUGCAGUAAUACAGAUUGGAAUUCAAACAGGGUUUAUUUAGUUUCCCUCGUUUCAGUAGUUUGACACAGAGACAAGAGCAAGCUAGUACCUGGAGGCCGUUCUCUGGAGAUAUCAGAGAUAUCUUAUCACUGGUGACAUUACUCAACAGGUAUUGAAACAGUCUACAUCAUAUUCUGAUAUUAGUCCAUGGUAAUGGUAAUGGUGAGAUGCCCGGUUGUUCUGUAAAUCUUGACCUUGGGUUUUGUCUUUUAAGUUUUCAACUAAUGAGAAUCUCCGGCCUUUAUGGUUGGGUUGAAUUAAACUACAAAAAAUGGAUGGGAUAAUUUGGUAUGGUUGUACAAUUUGUGCCAAAGUGAACAGAACCAAUACAGAAGCUGCAUCUACAGGCUGCUUGUUGUGAAUGAGGAGUGUACUGAAAUGAAAUGUCCUCAUUCCUGGAUCCAAAUCACGUACAAGGAUGAGUGUACACAUUCCACAAGGGUUGUUUAAAAAAAUCUGGACGUGUUUUAUUUUAUCAGCCAACUUUUUACUCACUGAAGACAUCCUUCUGUGUCAAAUACACGAAAGGUGCAAUGCAUCAGGUUGUUACAAUAUGGCAUGCUAGCCCACAGUUGGUACAAUUUGGUCUUUUCACGCUGCUGCCCCAGGCAUGCAAAAUCUCGAUCUUGAUCUUUACAAAAUCGGUUCAGUGAUUAUCAUGUAUGUUGCUUGGUCAUUCUGUGCAUGCUGUGUCGGAUUUUAUACCAUACGAUUGGACAAUGUUUCAGAAGCUGAUUGUGACAUGAUUGUACAAUCUGCCAGAUUGAGGCUCUCCAUGCCUAUGGCGGCAGCAUGCAGAAUAAAUAACGUGUGCGUCCAGAGUUUCUUUCAUGAUAUCCUUAACACAGGCUGGCUUCUAUCAUACACACCAAGGAUUCAACAUUGGCUGGAAAGUAUGAUGUAAGCCAUCUUGACAAUAUUUCUUUGGGGUUCCACAUGCCUGGAAGAAGGUCAUUUAGGGAAACACUUAUAACUUUUCUCCAUCUUUCUCAUUAUAUAUAACAGGUUUUGCCCUUACCCAACGUAUA
rnacentral:lncRNA from 1 species